GGUGAGCGGCAAUGCGGGGGCCUCAGACACCACUGGGCUCGGCACUACUCUCUAACACAUCACAAGGCCCAGCCCGAGCCUGCCAACAAAGUUCGAGCGCAAAAAUAGAACUACCUGGAUACAAAUUGUCCAUGGAAUGAAGUUACCGUUCGUUGGGCCGCCCUGGUUGGGACUUGGGUGGCGCUUCGCUCCCUCGUCUCAAGUCCUGCUGUUGCGAUUGGUCGCCAACCCUGUUUCUGUUACGAGGCCGUGGACACCAGCCUCCAUUAGCUGAUGGCUCAUACUCGAGAGCCUAAAAGCAGCAUUCCAGCA
rnacentral:sRNA from 2 species